rnacentral:lncRNA from 1 species
GGCUGCUCUUCCCUCCUUGGCGGCUUAGGCUGUGACAGGAUCCUUGGCCAAUCUUCUCUACCGUCAGGCCGACGUCGAAUGAAUCUGUCGAGCCGACCUCGUCGGAUGAGCUCCUCGAUCUCGUCUCGAAGCUGGAUGCAUUCCUCCGUGUUGUGGCUGUGGUCAUGAUGGUUGAGGCAGAACUUGUUCGGAUUGUGCUUCCCGAGGUGCGUGCGCAUCCUCUCUGGCCUAGGGAGCUGCUCUCUGACCUCCAUCAGCACCUGGGUUUUCGAUGCGUUGAGGGGGGCAUAGUUGCGAAAUCUUCCUGGGGGAGAACCCCGUCGAGCCCG